rnacentral:rRNA from 1 species
GAUGAACGCUGGCGGCGUGCCUAAUACAUGCAAGUCGAGCGAACAGACGAGGAGCUUGCUCCUCUGACGUUAGCGGCGGACGGGUGAGUAACACGUGGAUAACCUACCUAUAAGACUGGGAUAACUUCGGGAAACCGGAGCUAAUACCGGAUAAUAUAUUGAACCGCAUGGUUCAAUAGUGAAAGACGGUUUUGCUGUCACUUAUAGAUGGAUCCGCGCCGCAUUAGCUAGUUUGUAAGGUAACGGCUUACCAAGGCGACGAUGCGUAGCCGACCUGGGAGGGUGAUCGGCCACACUGGAACUGAGACACGGUCCAGACUCCUACGGGAGGCAGCAGUAGGGAAUCUUCCGCAAUGGGCGAAAGCCUGACGGAGCAACGCCGCGUGAGUGAUGAAGGUCUUCGGAUCGUAAAGCUCUGUUAUUAGGGAAGAACAAAUGUGUAAGUAACUAUGCACGUCUUGACGGUACCUAAUCAGAAAGCCACGGCUAACUACGUG